GAACUCAAGGAGAAUGAGAGAGCAAGGAAGGAACUAGCUCGUACUAGUCUAGAUGUACAAUUGUACCAGGAGUAUAAGCUGCAGAAGAAGAAGAAGAAGAAAGUAAGAAAGGCAUGCAGUUGAACUUUGAGAUAGCAACACGAGUAGGUUGGUUGGUUUUUUGUCGGUUGGAGGAUCGUUGGAAGUUAUUUACUUGAAUUUUUUGGACAUGUCGAAUUGAGUUUUGAGGUGUUAUGUGAGGGAUUCGAAUGCACUAAGUCGCAAAGUAUCUAGUUUGGUACAAGCCAAGCACAUUUAUAGGCUUGUUGAGCCGAUACUAAAAACGGACGGUUUGAUCUUUAGAAACAGAGAGUAUGCAGGCAUUAUAAAUGUGUCUUAGACGAGGCUCUAUUCUAUGUUCUUAGAGAGGAUGCCGGUAAUUAUGAGCCUUUCGAGUGUUUCGUGACUAAAGCCUUCUGGCCGCCUCCCUACAACUUUCUACUCUGGUCCCAAACACGUUUAACACUCGAUACUUCGACGUGCCUCUGGACCGGAGUUGACCUUGCAAGCUGACACUUUUUAAAGAUCAUUCUACUCGAUGGCCGAAUUAAGGGUGGGCAAAUCUAAACUACCAUCAAGAAUCUCAUCGUUCCAAAAAUGAUAAAAUUAUGAUAACGAAAUCAAAAUGGCCGGAGACUUUAUGAUACAAUUUGAAGUUUGAGUUGACUUAAAAAACGCACCUGGAAAAAUCUUAAAAAUAUAUUAGGCAAAAAUUGUACUUACCAUUUUAAAUAAGAUUUUGAAAAAUUUGUACUUCUUGAUGCUUAUCUUUGUUAUUGGAUGGAGUUGGGUAAGUACGAAAUUGGGCUGGAAAUUAAUCAGUGGUUAGCCAUUAUAACAACUAAUUAACCGCAUCGAAUUAUAAAAAUUUUCGGAUGUAAACUACAGGGUAGGGGAUGAGCUAAGGGGUCUUUAGCUAAGGGGAUGUAAACUACAGAAUCGAUAUGUUUAACCGCAAUUAACCUCCUAGACCUAAGGACCUCAAUCUCCAACAUUCCAACUCAUCUGGUCUAUAUACAUAGAGUUAUUGUUGCAAGGGAGUUUGAAGGGUAAAUCCAACGUCAGCAAGGGUAAUAAACUCAGCACAUUCACCAGCAAAAUUUUUGGUAAAUUUUUAAUUUUAUUUGGUUAUUAUUUAUAGGAAUUACCUUAAUAAAAUUUUAUUUUUAGUCAUUUUUAACACAUUCGAUAAAAAAAUAGUUAAUUUGAAAAUUUUCGAUUUUCAUGUCAAAAUUGUCAAUUUCCAUGGGUUAUAACAGACGAAAAUGAACAAUUUUCACAUGAAAAUUGAAAUUUUAAAAUUGUCUAAUAUUUC
rnacentral:lncRNA from 1 species